rnacentral:rRNA from 1 species
GACGAACGCUGGCGGCGUGCUUAACACAUGCAAGUCGAGCGGUAAGGCCCUUUCGGGGGUACACGAGCGGCGAACGGGUGAGUAACACGUGGGUGACCUGCCUUUAGCUCUGGGAUAAGCCUGGGAAACUGGGUCUAAUACCGGAUACGACUCCGCGGUGCAUGCUGUGGGGUGGAAAGCCUUGUGCGGCUGGAGAUGGGCCCGCGGCCUAUCAGCUUGUUGGUGGGGUGAUGGCCUACCAAGGCGACGACGGGUAGCCGGCCUGAGAGGGCGACCGGCCACACUGGGACUGAGACACGGCCCAGACUCCUACGGGAGGCAGCAGUGGGGAAUCUUGCGCAAUGGGCGAAAGCCUGACGCAGCGACGCCGCGUGAGGGAUGACGG